UACGUAGGGGGCAAGCGUUGUCCGGAAUCAUUGGGCGUAAAGAGCGUGUAGGCGGCCUGAUAAGUCGGCUGUGAAAGUCAAGGGCUCAACCCUUGAAUGCCGGCGGAUACUGUCAGGCUAGAGUCCGGAAGAGGCGAGUGGAAUUCCUGGUGUAGCGGUGAAAUGCGCAGAUAUCAGGAGGAACACCUAUGGCGAAGGCAGCUCGCUGGGACGGUACUGACGCUGAGACGCGAAAGCGUGGGGAGCGAACAGG
rnacentral:rRNA from 1 species